UAACAAAUAAGCACUAAGGCC
rnacentral:piRNA from 1 species